GGAACGUGGAAGCAAGCAAUUACUGUUUCAUAUGAGGCUACCAAAUCAGCAUUCCCAGGAGGAAAAAUUCUAGCCCAUCUUGAUUUAAAGAGCUUCAAGGGCUGGCAGAAAAAUGCAAUUAUAAGCUUCUUGGCUGAACAGAAUAUCAAGGUCGGAAAACCAUCGGACUUCAGUGCUAAUUGAAGUUCAGCAUUGGCUCCUUUAUUAUAGGGGUUACUACUGAGAGGUGGGGGCUGCACUUCCUUCUUUGUCCUUGCUGCUACU
rnacentral:misc_RNA from 1 species